AAAUUGAAGAGUUUGAUCAUGGCUCAGAUUGAACGCUGGCGGCAGGCCUAACACAUGCAAGUCGAACGGUAACAGGAAGCAGCUUGCUGUUUCGCUGACGAGUGGCGGACGGGUGAGUAAUGUCUGGGAAACUGCCUGAUGGAGGGGGAUAACUACUGGAAACGGUAGCUAAUACCGCAUAACGUCGCAAGACCAAAGAGGGGGACCUUCGGGCCUCUUGCCAUCGGAUGUGCCCAGAUGGGAUUAGCUUGUUGGUGGGGUAACGGCUCACCAAGGCGACGAUCCCUAGCUGGUCUGAGAGGAUGACCAGCCACACUGGAACUGAGACACGGUCCAGACUCCUACGGGAGGCAGCAGUGGGGAAUAUUGCACAAUGGGCGCAAGCCUGAUGCAGCCAUGCCGCGUGUAUGAAGAAGGCCUUCGGGUUGUAAAGUACUUUCAGCGGGGAGGAAGGGAGUAAAGUUAAUACCUUUGCUCAUUGACGUUACCCGCAGAAGAAGCACCGGCUAACUCCGUGCCAGCAGCCGCGGUAAUACGGAGGGUGCAAGCGUUAAUCGGAAUUACUGGGCGUAAAGCGCACGCAGGCGGUUUGUUAAGUCAGAUGUGAAAUCCCCGGGCUCAACCUGGGAACUGCAUCUGAUACUGGCAAGCUUGAGUCUCGUAGAGGGGGGUAGAAUUCCAGGUGUAGCGGUGAAAUGCGUAGAGAUCUGGAGGAAUACCGGUGGCGAAGGCGGCCCCCUGGACGAAGACUGACGCUCAGGUGCGAAAGCGUGGGGAGCAAACAGGAUUAGAUACCCUGGUAGUCCACGCCGUAAACGAUGUCGACUUGGAGGUUGUGCCCUUGAGGCGUGGCUUCCGGAGCUAACGCGUUAAGUCGACCGCCUGGGGAGUACGGCCGCAAGGUUAAAACUCAAAUGAAUUGACGGGGGCCCGCACAAGCGGUGGAGCAUGUGGUUUAAUUCGAUGCAACGCGAAGAACCUUACCUGGUCUUGACAUCCACAGAACUUUCCAGAGAUGGAUUGGUGCCUUCGGGAACUGUGAGACAGGUGCUGCAUGGCUGUCGUCAGCUCGUGUUGUGAAAUGUUGGGUUAAGUCCCGCAACGAGCGCAACCCUUAUCCUUUGUUGCCAGCGGUCCGGCCGGGAACUCAAAGGAGACUGCCAGUGAUAAACUGGAGGAAGGUGGGGAUGACGUCAAGUCAUCAUGGCCCUUACGACCAGGGCUACACACGUGCUACAAUGGCGCAUACAAAGAGAAGCGACCUCGCGAGAGCAAGCGGACCUCAUAAAGUGCGUCGUAGUCCGGAUUGGAGUCUGCAACUCGACUCCAUGAAGUCGGAAUCGCUAGUAAUCGUGGAUCAGAAUGCCACGGUGAAUACGUUCCCGGGCCUUGUACACACCGCCCGUCACACCAUGGGAGUGGGUUGCAAAAGAAGUAGGUAGCUUAACCUUCGGGAGGGCGCUUACCACUUUGUGAUUCAUGACUGGGGUGAAGUCGUAACAAGGUAACCGUAGGGGAACCUGCGGUUGGAUCACCUCCUUA
rnacentral:rRNA from 3 species